rnacentral:lncRNA from 1 species
CCUUAACGACUUUGAGCGUGAGGGUCAUGACACCGGGCUUGUGUUUGCCUUGGUUGCCAAACCAUCUUCAUAUUCCAAUUUGACUCCUAUAUCGACUUUCCACAUGAGGUAAAUCCUUUGUUACAUAAGUUUAGUGAUAUCUCCCUUGUCGACCUCCUCGACGAGUUUCCUCCUUUGUGGGAUAUUGAACAUGCCACGGGCAAGUUAAACUUAACUAGAUAGAGGUUUUAUUCGCCUUAACCUUAGCCCUUGUGUGGUCCCAGUUUUACUCACCGUAAAAAAAGAUGGCUCUUGGCACAUGUACGUCGAUAGUCGUGCAAUCAACAAAAUCAUUGUUAAGCAUCGAUUUCUUAUUCCGCAUCUUGAGUAUAUGUUAGAUGAAUUGGCAAGGUCUGUGUGAUUUUCCAAGAUUGAUUUAUGGAGUGGUUAUCAUCAAGUCAGAACUCGACCAUGGGACGAAUUGAAUACAAUAUUUAAAACUCAAGAUAGUUUGUACAAGUGAGUUAUGCCUUUUGAGAUGUCGAAUGCACCUAGGACUUUUAUGCGUGUCACGACCCAUGUCUUACAACCUUUUAUUGUUAAGUUUCUGGUGGUCUAUUUUGAUGAUAUUUUGAUUUAUAGUUGGUCAUAAGAGGCACAUUUUUUUUUAAUCAGCUCUAUUGUCCGUGUAUUAUCGUCAAAACAGCGGCUAUUUCCCUCCCCCCACAUUCACCAGAUAAUGCAUCCUGAGAUAAGGUCCCAAACUAUCCUUACUCUUUGUUCGGCACGGUUAUAUGCUAACCCUAAAAAGUGUUCAUUCCUACAAUCUCAAGUUCUCUUUCUAGGGUUCAUCAUUUCCACCCAAGGUAUUUGUGCUCAUCUAACUAAAAUAUCGGUUAUUCGCAACUAGCCUGAACCUACAACAUUAUUUGAGGUGUAGAUAUAGGUGGUGUCUUAAGUCCGGAUGGUAACCCCAUUGCCUAUUUUAGCGAAAAACUAAAUUAGGCUCGACAAAAGUAUUCUACCUAUGACAAGUUCUAUGUCGUUGUCCAAUCUCUCCAUCAUCGGCAAUAUUAUUUAUUGCCUCAAGAGUUUGUUCUCUAUUUUGAUCAUCAAGCUCUUCGCUACCUUAAUUCCUAGCGUAAUUUAAGUAAGCGCCAUGUUAAGUGGGUUGAAUUUCUUCAAGAGUACACGUUUGUUCUCCAUAACCUAGCUGGGUCGCAAAUAAAGCAGCUGGCGCAUGUAAUCGUAUCACUACGGUGCUUCAUUCUGUGGGCAAUACUUUGGUGGAUUUUGAGCGCCCGAAUAAUGAUUAUUCUAGUUAUCCUGAUUUUUGCAUGAUCUUUCAAGAACUCUUGGACAGUCUUUCUCAAGAUUAUGUUGCUUUCUUACUUAAAGAUGGUUAUCUUUUUAAAGGCACGAAGUUGUGUUCCCCAUACCUCAGUUCGUGACUUUCUGAUAUGGGAACUACAUGCAAGGGGUCUAGCUAGUCAUUUUGGUCGAGAUAAAACUAUUGCUUUAGUUGAGGAUCGAAUUUAUUGGCCUUCACUUAAAAAGGAUGUUGUUGGCACUGUUUCUCGGUGUCGCCGAUGUUAAUUAGGCAAAGCUCAACGUUAAAACACCGGUAUGUAUACUCUCCUUCCUGAGACACUUUGGAAACUGUUUGGAAUGACACUCAAGUUUUCAUCCGCAUUCCACCUCCAAAUCGACAAUCAAACUAAGGUUGUGAAUCGUAGUUUAGGUAAUCUACCCAAUUGCUUGGUUGGGUAUAAACCGGGUAAUUGAGAUAUUAUGUUGCCAACUCUAAGUUUGCUUACGAUAAUUCAAUGCUGUCAUAACCCAUUCGAGCUCCCCAUCAGCUAAUUGAUCUUGUCCUUUUGCCUAUCAAUUUUUGGCCUGUUUCAUCCACUCAAGCUUUAGUUGAUCAUAUUCUCAGCAUGCAUGAUGAGAUUAAACGUAAAAUUCUUUAAGUAAUGAUCUCUAUAAACUUACGGUUGACUCUCACCAUCGGCACAAAGAAUUAAUGUAAGCGACUAUAUCGUCAUACAAAGUGCAAUUGAAAGAUUUCCUAAUCAAGUUGCAAAGAAACUUUGUGCUAGAUCACUUAAACCUUUUCCAACUAUUAAACGACUUGGAAUUAAUGCUUAUUUACUUGAGUUGUCAACACCAAUGUUAUCAAAACCGGCCCAGCCCGGCCGGUUCAACUGGUAAAAUCGGGAACCGGGUCCAAAACCAAUCCAAUCAUGCCCGAUUAACCGUUUAUGACUAAACCGCUUAAAAACCCAUCGAACCGGCCAAUUUAACCGUAAACCAGUCGCGGUUUUGUGGUUUUCCCAAUUUUGUGAUUAUUUGAUAUCAAAAUGCACUCAUUAUACUUAUGUUGAUUCAAGUUGCAUUUUGGUAGAAAAGGUGGAAGAUAGAAGAAAAGAGCAAAAAAGGACCAAAGUGGAAGAAAAUGAAAGUUCGGGGACUAAAGUGCAAAUACUCCAAACUUGUGUCUAACCUUAUGAUGAAGAUUCGGAUGUGUUAGAGGUCAAGUGGAUGAGAAAAAAAGUAAAAGGGAAGAAUACUGUCAAAGUUUCAUCACACAUCAAUUCCCAAUCGAAAAAAGUUACGCACAGUUUUCAACCUCAUAUUGGGACCCCUUUUUUUGACAUGUCUAACAAUCGAAUUGGAAGAUGACAUCUGAAGAAAAGUUGUAGCCCUUUAAGUUAGCUUUCCAACGCAACUUGAAUCACCUCAAUCAGACAUCGGGAGGGAAAGUUAUGGCCAAAAUACUAAAAACUGUCCGGCGGAGGAAAUUGUGACAACCAUGCGACCGCAUGGAUUACUACCAAGAACUUAUGGGGGCAUUUUGGCUGAACCAUGCGGCCGCAUGGUUAUUUUCCAAGGGCGAGAUCCCAGGUUCCUAUUUUGACGCGAACAUUUAUGAAAACUUGUUUGGCACACGUUUUAAGCCCUAAUCUCAUCCCAAAACGCCUCUACUCAUCCACACAUCAAUUUUCUUUGGUUUUUGGCUUAAUAAUUCCAUGAAGAACUAAAACCCCUGGUCAAGCUUGGAAGGAACUCAUUGGAUUUGAGGAAAUCACAUCAAUUGUUCAUGUAAUUUGGUAUUUUAUUGUCAAACAAUUCUAGAUUUUAGACUUUCUCCUUAUGAAUUGAUUUUAAAAUUGGUUUAAUUUUCAUUAGAUCUUUCAUAGAGUCAAUCAUGUUUUUUCUAUUGUUUGAUCGAAAUAUUUAUUGAGAUUGCAAUUUCAUUUAUGUUAUUGGUGGGUUAUUUAUGAUCUUAUGCUUGAAGUCUAUGGUUACUUUUGAUCUUACUCCAAUAACAAUUGUGUGAAUGUAUUAGAAAGUCUAAAUCUUAAAAUUACAAUUGGAAUUAAAGUGAUCUUUACUGUUAAAUCUUCUGAUUAGAGAGUUGGGAUGAAAACCUCUAAUUGAGUAAUAAUAUAUGAAUUGUUGAUGUUGAUCGAUCCAACCCAAUUGAGGGAAUCCCAAUGCUUCACUAAUUUCACAUAUUGAUAUUUAAAUUUCAUUCCAAAUUGAUAAACUAGUUUCACAUAACUCCCGAAACCCCUAAGCUUCUAAUCCUUUGAGCAUUUCCCAUCUUCAUGUGGAAUCAACACCCCAAGGUUAUAAUACAAUCACCGCGUUAUACUUUGAGCAUAAUCAGACAUCAUUAUCACCAGGUUCCUAAACAGGUUGAAACCUGACCUCAAACAUCGGGUGGUUGUGCUAAAUCCAGACUCCUAAGAAGAUGCUUUCCACGAGGUCCUCGAACAUGUGUCAUUUUCGUUACGCUCAUGCACGACGUGGCUCUUCUACCUUCCUCGAUCUUCACCAAAUGCAACCCUCCUAUCAGCACCCCUAGUAACGACCCUCGGCCCAACCAAGACCAAACCUGCAUAGCUGUCGAAUCCUCUACUCUAACUAUUCCUCGCGAUACCACGAGUUGUCCGCCUAAUUUGUAUAACUCCUCUCAAAGACCCACAUCUCAAUCUUAUGUCAUAAUUAUCAUAGUCGAGGACAUUUUGCCUCUUGAUGUCCCCAUCGUACCCUCGCCCUUAACCAGAAACCUAGGUUGUCGACUCUAGAGACUAACGAGUUUCAUGGUCGACCCUAUUGAUUCUGAUAAGAAUAUUAACCAAUUUAAAGAUUACAAGGAUGUCGCAGCUAUCUUAUCUGUUAUGAAUUGCAUUCCCUACCUCCUUGACUCUGAUUCGUGGAAACAGGCUUCUUUCACGCUUACAUCCCUUGCAUCGCUUUUGCAAGUUAGUAAUUGAGGUGGUAGCACCAUGAAUGUCAUCUCCAAGUCUGCAGUGGCCACGUUCUACUUUAAACCUGAACCACACCCUCAACCUUUCAAGUUCGCUUGGGUUUAUUGUACUUCCCUUCUAGUUACUCAUCUUUGUUUGGUACCACUUAAGUUGGGCUCAUUCUUCUUAGAAAACAUUUACUACGAUGUCCUACCUAUGGAUAUCACUCAUAUCCUCUUAAGGUAUCUCUGGCUUUACAACGAUGUUAAGCACUUCAAGCGUAACUACUUAAGAGUUUGUUCAUAAUGGCAAACCCAUUCGUCUCCUUCCUACGAAGCACUCUAACUCCCGAAGAAAUCAACUCCCAUCUCAACAUCCACAAGUGUUGCUGACACUUGAAUUCAACUUUUGUCCCUUAACGACUUUGAGCGUGAGGGUCAUGACACCGGGCUUGUGUUUGCCUUGGUUGCCAAACCAUCUUCAUAUUCCAAUUUGACUCCUAUAUCGACUUUCCACAUGAGGUAAAUCCUUUGUUACAUAAGUUUAGUGAUAUCUCCCUUGUCGACCUCCUCGACGAGUUUCCUCCUUUGUGGGAUAUUGAACAUGCCACGGGCAAGUUAAACUUAACUAGAUAGAGGUUUUAUUCG